AGAGUUUGAUCCUGGCUCAGGAUGAACGCUGGCGGCGUGCUUAACACAUGCAAGUCGAACGAUGAAGCCCAGCUUGCUGGGUGGAUUAGUGGCGAACGGGUGAGUAACACGUGAGUAACCUGCCCUUGACUCUGGGAUAAGCCUGGGAAACUGGGUCUAAUACUGGAUAUGACUUCUCACCGCAUGGUGGGAGGUGGAAAGAUUUAUUGGUCUUGGAUGGACUCGCGGCCUAUCAGCUUGUUGGUGAGGUAAUGGCUCACCAAGGCGACGACGGGUAGCCGGCCUGAGAGGGUGACCGGCCACACUGGGACUGAGACACGGCCCAGACUCCUACGGGAGGCAGCAGUGGGGAAUAUUGCACAAUGGGCGCAAGCCUGAUGCAGCGACGCCGCGUGAGGGAUGACGGCCUUCGGGUUGUAAACCUCUUUCAGUAGGGAAGAAGCGAAAGUGACGGUACCUGCAGAAGAAGCGCCGGCUAACUACGUGCCAGCAGCCGCGGUAAU
rnacentral:rRNA from 1 species